rnacentral:rRNA from 1 species
UGGGGAAUAUUGCACAAUGGGCGCAAGCCUGAUGCAGCCAUGCCGCGUGUGUGAAGAAGGCCUUCGGGUUGUAAAGCACUUUCAGCGGGGAGGAAGGCGAUAAGGUUAAUAACCUUGUCGAUUGACGUUACCCGCAGAAGAAGCACCGGCUAACUCCGUGCCAGCAGCCGCGGUAAUGCGGAGGGUGCAAGCGUUAAUCGGAAUUACUGGGCGUAAAGCGCACGCAGGCGGUCUGUCAAGUCGGAUGUGAAAUCCCCGGGCUUAACCUGGGAACUGCAUUCGAAACUGGCAGGCUAGAGUCUUGUAGAGGGGGGUAGAAUUCCAGGUGUAGCGGUGAAAUGCGUAGAGAUCUGGAGGAAUACCGGUGGCGAAGGCGGCCCCCUGGACAAAGACUGACGCUCAGGUGCGAAAGCGUGGGGAGCAAACAGG